rnacentral:rRNA from 1 species
UGGGGAAUAUUGGACAAUGGGCGAAAGCCUGAUCCAGCCAUGCCGCGGGUGUGAAGAAGGUCUUCGGAUUGUAAAGCACUUUAAGUUGGGAGGAAGGGCAUUAACCUAAUACGUUAGUGUUUUGACGUUACCGACAGAAUAAGCACCGGCUAACUCUGUGCCAGCAGCCGCGGUAAUACAGAGGGUGCAAGCGUUAAUCGGAAUUACUGGGCGUAAAGCGCGCGUAGGUGGUUUGUUAAGUUGGAUGUGAAGGCCCCGGGCGCAACCUGGGAACUGCAUCCAAAACUGGCAAGCUAGAGUACGGUAGAGGGUGGUGGAAUUUCCUGUGUAGCGGUGAAAUGCGUAGAUAUAGGAAGGAACACCAGUGGCGAAGGCGACCACCUGGACUGAUACUGACACUGAGGUGCGAAAGCGUGGGGAGCAAACA